AUUGAACGCUGGCGGCAGGCCUAACACAUGCAAGUCGAGCGAGAGGCGGACGGGUGAGUAAUGUAUGGGGACUGCCCGAUAGAGGGGGAUAACUAAUGGAAACGGUGGCUAAUACCGCAUAAUGUCGGAUACCCCAUAUGGGAUUAGCUAGUAGGUACGGUAAUGGUUUAACUAGGCGACGAGCCCUAGCUGGUCUGAGAGGAUGAUCAGCCACACUGGGACUGAGACACGGCCCAGACUCCUACGGAGGCAGCAGUGGGGAAUAUUGCACAAUGGGCGCAAGCCUGAUUCAGCCAUGCCGCGUGUAUGAAGAAGGCCCUAGGGUUGUAAAGUACUUUCAGUCGGGAGGCGUUACCGACAGAAGAAGCACCGGCUAACUCCGUGCCAGCAGCCGCGGUAAUUC
rnacentral:rRNA from 1 species